UACGACCACAUCACGUUGAAAUAUCGCCUCCCGUACGAUCACCGAAAUUAAGCAACGUCGAUCCUGGUCAGUAGCUAGAUGGGUGAACGCUUGGGAAUACCAUAU